rnacentral:siRNA from 1 species
AAAUUUGUUAGGCGCCAA